GGCUAUAGCUCAGUGGGAGAGCAUCUGCUUUGCAUGCAGAAGGUCCUGGAUUCAAAUUCUGCCAGCAUCGCCA